GACGAACGCUGGCGGCGUGCUUAACACAUGCAAGUCGAGCGGAGCGGCGAACGGGUGAGUAACGCGUGAGUAACUGCCCCCCUCUCUGGGAUAACAGUUGGAAACGGCUGCUAAUACCGGAUAGUGGGGGAUGACUCGCGGCCUAUCCGCUUGUUGGUGGGGUAGUGGCCUACCAAGGCGACGACGGGUAGCCGGCCUGGUAGGGCGACCGGCCACAAGGGGCUGAGAUACGGCCCAAACGGCUACGGGAGGCAGCAGGGGGGAAUAUGGCACAAUGGGGGAAACCCUGAUGCAGAAACGCCGCGUGCGGGAGGAAGGCCUUCGGGUUGGAAACCGCUUUCAGCCAUGACGCGGUAGUGGCAGAAGAAGCACCGGCUAACUACGUGCCAGCAGCCGCGGUAAUUC
rnacentral:rRNA from 1 species